rnacentral:lncRNA from 1 species
UUUGAAAUAUUGAAGAUUUUAUCAACCCUAAAAAAUCCAUUACCAUGAUCAAUAAAUGUCAUCAACUAUCAUCUACAACAAGGGUACAAAUCUCAAAUUAAAAUGGUCAAAAUAAAAUAAAUAAAAUGAAAAUAAAAUACAUGGAUAGAAAAUAAUUAAAUGUAUUUACAACAUGUGAGAUUAAAAAGAAAUAAGUGAUGAAAUAAAUCAAAUAAAAAUGGGAAGAAAAUAAAUGAAAAUAAAGAAAAUAAGAAAUAAAAAGGAAAAGACUGAAAAAC